GACGAACGCUGGCGGCGUGCCUAAUACAUGCAAGUAGAACGCUGAAGGAGGAGCUUGCUUCUCUGGAUGAGUUGCGAACGGGUGAGUAACGCGUAGGUAACCUACCUGGUAGCGGGGGAUAACUAUUGGAAACGAUAGCUAAUACCGCAUAAGAGUAGAUGUCGCAUGACAUUUGCUUAAAAGGUGCAAUUGCAUCACUACCAGAUGGACCUGCGUUGUAUUAGCUAGUUGGUGAGGUAACGGCUCACCAAGGCAACGAUACAUAGCCGACCUGAGAGGGUGAUCGGCCACACUGGGACUGAGACACGGCCCAGACUCCUACGGGAGGCAGCAGUAGGGAAUCUUCGGCAAUGGACGGAAGUCUGACCGAGCAACGCCGCGUGAGUGAAGAAGGUUGUCGGAUCGGAAAGCUCUGUUGUAAGAGAAGAACGAGUGUGAGAGUGGAAAGUUCACACUGUGACGGUAUCUUACCAGAAAGGGACGGCUAACUACGUG
rnacentral:rRNA from 1 species